CCUACGGGGGGCACCAGUGGGGAAUAUUGGACAAUGGCGAAAGCCUGAUCCAGCCAUGCCGCGUGUGUGAAGAAGGUCUUCGGAUUGUAAAGCACUUUCGACUGGGGACGAUGAUGACGGUACCCGUAGAAGAAGCCCCGGCUAACUUCGUGCCAGCAACCACGGUAAUACGAAGGGGGCUAGCAUUGCUCGGAAUGACUGGGCGUAAAGGGCGCGUAGGCGGUUUAUGCAGUCAGAUGUGAAAUCCCCGGGCUUGACCUGGGAACUGCAUUUGAGACGCAUAGACUAGAGGUCGAGAGAGGGUUGUGGAAUUCCCAGUGUAGAGGUGAAAUUCGUAGAUAUUGGGAAGAACACCGGUGGCGAAGGCGGCAACCUGGCUCGAUACUGACGCUGAGGCGCGAAAGCGUGGGGAGCAAACAGGAUUAGAUACCCUCGUAGUC
rnacentral:rRNA from 1 species